CUGGAAAUGCAGAGCAAGACAUUUCUAAGCUGGGAAUUUGCCAUCCUGUUGCAGGAGCACAGCAGCAGCCCCAGAAAAAUAUUUUUCAAGGCUGCAGAGAAAACAAGGGCUGGAAAAAUGUUUGUUUAUUGCCAGCUCUCCCCACAGCCGCUUAUAUAACAGCCUGUGCUGAGACAGGCUGUCCUGCCCAGGCUCAGAAUCAAGAGUCACACUCCUUGGGAUGAUGACAGAGACAAUGUGGGAACUACAGGGCUAUGGCCUAUGACGUCCAGGAAGGAAAACCAAGUGGUUCUUCCCCAAACCAUCAUGGACCAGUUGGACUCUGAGAAGAAAAGUUUCUGAUCUUUAGUUCAUUCUUCCAACUCUCUAGAAAGCAGGAAAACUGAGAAUGAAAAAUUCUAAAUUACUCAGGACUCAUGGGUUGCCAAUAGAAGAAAUACAUCUUAAACUAGCUUAAGCCUGAAAGGGAAAUGUAUUUGUUCAUGUAACUGAACCAUAACGAAGGAUGGUGGACUGAGGGACCUGAAAACACCCUCAGGACUCCCUCCCUCUCCUUUGUGCUCCUGUCUGAUGCCGUCUUCCCAGACCUGCUCACUCUCCAUAAGGUGGGGAUGUGGCCAUCAGCAACGUGUACUUCCCCGAAGCUUGUGACCUGAGUAGAUAGGCAUCUCCCAACCCACAAGGAUUGAAAAGUUCCUCUAGGAAUUAUGUGGAUUGGCCCAUUCACUAUGACAUGUUCCCCCUAAGCAGCUAAAGGAACUGGGUCUGUUACCAGAAGAGGUGGGAGAGGGGUGCUAGGCAGAUUGAACAACAGCCACUACAACAUCUGAGGAGGAGACCUCCGUGAAGGCCACCAAGUCUGCUAGCAGAUAUUUCCUCCCUCGGAUCUCUCUCCCUGUCCUCACAGUCUCAUAAGUGAGGAUUAAAUACUACAUGUGGCCUAGGAGAUCUUAGACCCUCCACACGAAGAUAUAGUAACAAUCAACAUCCUAGUGUUCUGGCAGAGAAAAAAUCAGAAAGAAUCGUUUGCCUGAUUUUUCCAUCAAUACCAAUAAUUAAUUAGAGAUGAAAUUUGUGAUGGACUCAGAGAAUUAGAGAAGAUCUAAGGGAAUCUAGAUGAUUUCCUACCCCUAACCAGAGCCUCACAAAAAAGGGUGAAGAUCUAUGGCCGUCUUGCGUUUGGUGUGAGGCUGGACAAGGAAGUUCCUAAGGUCCUUUAGACUCUGUGAGAUCAUGAGUCCGUAAAACCCUUCCAACUUGAAAUUAGUUGAUUCCUUCCUUAAAUUUUCUGGGACAUUCCCCCACUCCCUCCACUCUUAUUAGCUGAUUUUACUGACCAAUAGGCCUUGAAGUUGGGCGUUCCAUCUAGAUGUCUCACAUCAACUCACCUUUUGCAAAUUAAGCCCAUACCCUUAAAGAGGGGAAUUCUCAAGCCAUUAGAAACUAGAGAGUCAGCUGGGCAUGGUGGCUCACGCCUGUAAUCCCAGAACUUUGGGAGGCCAAGGUGGGUGGAUCACUUGAGGUCAGGAGUUCGAGUCCAGCCUGACCAACAUGGCGAAACCCCGUCUCUACUAAAAAUACAAAAAUUAGCCAGGGGUGAUGGCAUGCACCUGUAAUCCCAGCUACUCAGGAGGCUGAGGCAGGAGAAUUGCUUGAACCUGGGAGGCGGAGGUUGCAGUGAGCCAAGUUUGCACCACAGCACUCCAGCCUGGGCAACAGAGUGAGACUCAGUUUCAAAAAACAAAAGAACAAACAAACAAAAACUAGAGGGUCUCCUCUUAGUUCUUAAACCCUCUUAGUCAACAUUUGUGAGCCUCUUUUCUGUAUGUUUUGGCAUCUUUAUUCCUUUCCUUCGUGUCUUGACCAAAUUCACCAGAUCAUGACUCAGAACAAAAUCCUGAGGUUGAAUAUAGAGGUCUAGAACAUCUUCAAAUUAACUGUUUCUCCUCAUAGAGAAUUAAAGAAAUUGAGAAAGCAAGAGAGAGUGUGUGGAGUUUUUGUCCUCAUUUUCCUCUUUCCUGUAGUAGGUAGAAUAAUG
rnacentral:lncRNA from 1 species